GAUGUAUGGAUUAAGGCAUAAGGCUUAUGGCUUUAGGAGUUAUAGCUCAUGACCUAUGACUUGUGAUAUAUGGAUUAAAGAAUAAGGCUUAUGGCUAAGGAGAUAUGGCUUGUGAUAUACCCUAACCCAUGUAACUUACCCUUAAACCCUAACCUAUGUGACUUAAUGCCUUAACCCUUAAACCCUAGCCUAUAUGACUUAAUGUCAUACCCUUACACCGUAACUCAUGUAACUUACCCUUAAACCCUAACAAAUGUGACUUAAUCCCUUAACCCUUAAACCCUAAACCAUGUGACUUAAUGUCAUAACACUUAUACCCUAACCCAUGUAACUUACCCUUAAACCCUAACCCAUAUGACUUAAUGUCAUAACCCUUAUACUCUAACCCAUGUAACUUACCCUUAAACCAUAACCCUUAUGACUUAAUCCCUUAACCCUUAAACCUUAAACCAUAUGACUUAAUAUCAUAACCCUUGUGCCCUAACCCAUGUAACUUACCCUUAAACCCUAACCUAUGUGACUUAGUACCUUAACCCACAUCGAACAAAUUAGUAUGGUACAGAGUGCAACUUUGUUUGAUUUUGUCAUUGUUGAAAGUAUACUAUUAUUGAGGGGCGAACCUCUGAACUGACGGGGGUCCGGGGCAGCACCCCUGGUAGCGGGGUCCAAGGGGGGCAGCCCCAGGCGGGGUCCAAGAGGUAGCGCCCCUAGCUAGGGCCGAGCUGACUUGGUUUUUGUAAAGUGAUAUACUACUUUUUAGCCUUAGAGAUCUAAAAAAAAGUCAUACUAUAUGCUACCUAUGCGUGGAUAUAAAGAACAUCAAAAAUGGAUCUUGUAUGCAAAAGUUAUGGAUUUUAGAAUAUAAUUAAUUUUUGAACUAAACCAGCGAGUGACACGUAGCACGAUCCGAGCCACUACUUCUUCCCCACGGCAUGGAAUGAGAUUGCGACACUUGGCAAGAUUACGUCGAGCAUAGAUCAGAGUAUUCCCAGCAUACUGAGAACGCCCAUCGUACUCUUCGCGUACGCCCAUCGUACUCUUCCACUCAUAUGGCUUGUUCUACUACUUAUUGAAUCAUACACAAAGGCACGUUUUAUAACCCCGAGUUACCGAAUGCGUUUUCGUGCAAUCAAUGUACAACCAACUCAUAGUAUCAACUCAUAUCUCUAGGUUUGAAGAAUAUAAGAUAUUAUCGUCUCAUGAUCACUCGUGAUAAAAUCCAUGAAAUGAUUCCAAUGAGCGCGGGUUGAAUCCAAUACUCAGAACUUAUGAGCACUCAUGAGUGUUGUAGCCCUUUGUCCAACACCUUAGACCUCUACAAGCCAACCCAUGACAGUCUUAAUUCAUAUCUACUUCCAACAUAUGACCGACUGUGGAUGGUUUGAAUAACUUAGUCAUUCAGGAAGAAUAACCUAGUUAUUCUGGAAGUCAAAACAUGCAAAAUGAAACACAAUAAUAAUUGAAUCCAAUAUGGUAUCAAAACCUAUGAACAUAAAUAAAACACCUUUUAUUUAUCACCAUAUGAUUACACAUUAUUCAUUGUAUACUGUUUCAGCUAUCAACUUUAUUCUUGAAUUUAAAACAAUAGUUGUCCCAUGCUCCAAGCAUGUACACUAUGUUUUCUAAACACUAGUCAUGCCACACACCAAGUAUGCAUACUAUGUUUGUCUAUGAUCUUUACUUUGUGAACUAGAUCAAUUGAACAUAACUUCAAUGAUUCUCUUUUCACACUCCCAAAUCCUUACUGCAAAUGCAAGAAUUCCAAAUUCAUGCCAUUUACUGAAAUCUGUUAGAUUCUAAACUUAUAUGCAUUGAUCCUCUUGUAAUGAUUAUGCACAAAGUCAGAAAGACUUGACAACAAUCAUUACAGAGUAUUCCAAAGGAGAUCAGCUCCUUGGAAACAUCCUUCUUGCAUUAAGUUUCCUAAUCUUAAACAGAUUGAAAAUUCUAACUUUGAAACAUUUCCAGAUUCCAUUUUGACUAUCACUUCUGAACAAGAGUUGCCUCCUUACAGAUUAUGUCAAUAUGGUCCUUCCAGAAUUAUCACUAUACUUCCAACUGUCCUUGAGCAACCAAUCUUUGGUAAACCUUAGAUUGUCCUCGAAAAUUGUUUAAUCCUUUUAGUCAUAUCCAAUUCUAGACCUUUUCCCUUCUUAAUGCCCAGGCAUUUGGAAAAUUUUAGAAAGGAUGAAUAUAGCACAUGUAAUCGAUCCUAUAUCCGAAGCAUAUGGGACACGAUUCAUGAUGUCUCACAUAAUGACUAAAUCAGUCUUUUGCUAUAAUAUUUCUAUUUCUAUUUGAUAAGUUCUCAUUAUUCAGAUGAUGAAAAGGGAUGUCGUAAUCAUAAUCGAGUUUUAGAACGCAAAUAAUGGACACAUAUAUAGAAUUUUCUUAUGUUGAUCCAUUACAACAUAACAUUCAUAUAUAUAUANGGGUCAAGUCUCACCAAUUAUAGUUAUGGACUUAGACAUUAAUCCAACAGGAAACACUUAGAUUGAAGUGUUAGAAGUGUCGAGGGUCGCAUAUAAUGGGUGUACGGCCACACAAGUGUGUGGACGGCCACCAGAUGUACGACCACUUGGGUGUACAGCCUAGUGUGUAUGUCCAUGGAGUGUACGACCAUACACUCCUUGAAGAAAUGGCUAAAAAGUGUGUUUCAAGGCUAUAUCUUGCAUCCUCUAAGUGUUCUUGGUCAUGUGCUAGCAUAGAACAUGAGUUUGAGGCUAAUAUACACUAAACAAAGGGGUGUACGGCCACAUGGGUUGUAUACGGCCGUACACUCCUUCAUGAUCAUGGUUUGGACGAUUUCUAAGGAGUAUAUCUAGUAAGUAACAAGCAUAAGAAGUGGUACCUACGAUAUAUAACCUUUUAGGGGUGUUUGAGGUCCAAGAACUUAGUAGGUGUUCUUGGUGUUCUUGGUGAAACUGAAGAACACUUGAAGAUCUACCAAAAUGAAGUGAUUUCAUGGAUGAAAUCAACGAUCCAUAGAAGAUACUGAAAGGAAUGAACAAUUCAAGGGAAGAAAAACUUAGAAUCUUGAAGAUCUCGAUGAAAAAUCGGAUGGUAGUUGAGAGAGAAUGAGUUCUUGGCUUAGGAGUGUGAAAAGAGUUGAAUGAAGGCUACGUCUCUCAAUUAUACAUGAAAGUGUACGGCCAGAAGGGGGUGUACGGCCGCACACCCAGGUGUCCGGCCGUACACUCCUCAUGUUGGAGUGUUUGGCCAUUUUGGGAAGUGGUGAACUUAUGUAACCCAAUUCUAAACCCAAACUUUGAAGGUACUAGACUUAGAACACUCUAAUUGACUCUAAAUAAUGCUAGAAGAUAGCAAAAAUGAGUCUGAUCUUGAUUGAUUUGAAUAACUGUACAAGAUUGAAAUUUCGGGUUGUCACAUUAAUGCUCAAGGAUUAUGGCUUAGGGCUUAUAGUUGAUGACUUAUUCUUUAAUGUUUAGUUUUUGGGGCUCAUGAUUUAUAGUAUAUAAUGUAUGGUUCUUGGAUAAGGGUGUAGAGAUGAAAGCUUUGUACAUAUGACUUGUGACUUAUGGUUUAGAUCUUAGGCUUAUAUCUUAGGGAUAAUGGAUUAAGAUUUAGGUGCUUGUGGCUUAUUGAUUAAGUAUUUUGGCAUAUAGUUUAUCGCUUAAGGCUUAAGGCUUAUAAAUUAUGGAUUAUUGAUUAUGAUGUAUGGAUUAAGGCAUAAGGCUUAUGGCUUUAGGAGUUACAGCUCAUGACCUAUGACUUGUGAUAUAUGGAUUAAAGAAUAAGGCUUAUGGCUAAGGAGACAUGGCUUGUGAUAUACCCUAACCCAUGUAACUUACCCUUAAACCCUAACCUAUGUGACUUAAUGCCUUAACCCUUAAACCCUAGCCUAUAUGACUUAAUGUCAUACCCUUACACCGUAACUCAUGUAACUUACCCUUAAACCCUAACCCAUGUGACUUAAUCCCUUAACCCUUAAACCCUAAACCAUGUGACUUAAU
rnacentral:lncRNA from 1 species